UUUACGGCAUGAACUUACACUUGCAUGGCUUAAGCUUUGAGACAAGCAUAUGACUACUGGCAGGAUCAACCAGAGGACAAAAUGUUAGUUUGGC